AUGAGAUAUUAUAAAGUCAUAAUUAUGAGAUAUUAUAAAGUCAGAAUUAUGAGAUAUUAUAAAGUCAUAAUUAUGAGAUAUUAUAAAGUCAUAAUUAUGAGAAAUUAUAAAGUCAGAAUUAUGAGAUGUUAUAAAGUCAUAAUUGUGAGAUAUUAUAAAGUCAGAAUUGUGAGAUAUUAUAAAGUCAGAAUUAUGAGAUAUUAUAAAGUCAGAAUUGUGAGAUAUUAUAAAGUCAGAAUUAUGAGAUAUUAUAAAGUCAGAAUUAUGAGAUAUUAUAAAGUCAGAAUUAUAAGAUAUUAUAAAGUCAGAAUUAUGAGAUAUUAUAAGUCAGAAUUGUGAGAUAUAAACUUGCAAUUGUGAGGGGAAAAAAGUCAGAAUUAACAUAAAUAAAGUUGUCUCUGUUGUCAAAAUGACCUACAAACACUAGGUUUGGCUUUUCAUUUUGGACUCAAUUUAAUUAAUUUCUUUAAUGAGUAGUUAACACAAAAAUUUAUUGUUAAGUUGAUUAGCUCAGCAGCAUGAUGUUAUGCUUAAUUUUAUCUUUAACUAUAUUCUGAAUGCAACUUCAUUUUAAAGAGAACGUAUUUUAAUUUUAAACCGCAGUACCAUUAAAAUGAACAAGUGAACACAAAAAUGCCAUAUAAAGCAUAUAAAAUUCACCUUUUUAGUGCAAAAUAAAUGCACAUAUACUGACCUCUGAUGACCAGAUGGAUUUUUUCAAGACUUAACGGUGAUAUCUUAUAGAAGCACUCGUACAGUCCCUGGUCUGACAGACUCACUCUGUGAAACACUAGAGAACAGUUUCCUCUCAGCUUCAGCUCCGUUCUGUUCCUGAACUCGGAUGCCAUGAGGUUGCCUUCUUGGUCGUCAUCUUUGUAGUAAUUAACCACGAGCCGCUGUUCACCAGCGACCUUCUGCCAGACCAGAUACGGAGGCCAGUCCGGAGGACACUUGCAGGGAAGAGAUGCUGCUUCUCCAUCCGUGCCAUGAACAGUAAUAUCAGCGAGAUCUGUAGUGGAAAUAUUGAGAUAAACAUCUCACACUCAGUCAACAAACAACCUGAUCUGAAUUAACAAGUUUUAAAAAUACUUUGCUAAUGAUAUCAGCUACCAGGUGCUUAAAGAUUUAUAGCAUGAAUGAUUCCUCAGAUAAUAACGUACUACUGUGGUACAUGUUCAAACAGUGGAACUUUUAGGUACUUUUUUGUUAGUGUGUUGUGUGUGUGUGUGUGUGUGUGUGUGUGUGUGUGUGUGUGUGUGUGUGUUUUGUGUUUGUGUGUGGGUGUGUACCAACCAGGCACAUAUUUGUACCCAGAAGUGAGAUAAAUCUGUCAAAACCUCAUUACUUCUUAGUACUCAUUUGCCAAAAAAAAAAAAAAAAAAAAAUUAAGUACAGUUUUUUAUAUAAAAAAUGCAGAUGAACACAUUUAUGAAUACAUUUUAUCAUCAACUCUCUGAAUAUAGCAUGCUAUGAAAAAAAUUAUAUAUAUAUAUAUUAUUUGAAACACUGCAGAAAGAUAUCCAUUGAUCUAUCUUUCAAACUAUCUAUCUAUCUAUACAUUUGAUUUUGUGUUGAUUCUGAAAUUUAGGAAUACAUUUUUAUCAUUAAUUAACAAAUACAUAAUAAAAUAAUUCAAUAAUUAUAUUAAUAAAUUGUUGUUUUAUUAUUGCAUUGCAUAUAGACUAUAUAUACAUAUACUUUUUAUAUAUAUACUUAUACUUUAUAUAUAUGCUUUAUACAGUAUACAUAUAUAUUUAUUUAUACUUUUUAUAUACUUAUACUUUAUAUAUAUAUAUGCUUUAUACAGUAUAUAUAUACACACACACAUUUAAAGGAUAUUUUGUAGUGACAUUUUAUUUAACAAUAUGGCCAUCUGAAACUUUGAUAAUGUAACGACACUCACCGCUGCGCGAGCAUGUCGAUAACAGCAUUAACGCAAGUGAAAAUCCUCUGAAGAAAACAGAGCGAACUCCAGGAGCAAAAGUCAUCUCGGCGCUUUUCAUUCAGUCCGUUCGCAUUUCAACAGCUCAGUGUGUUCCUAACGAACCUAAACCUGUAUCUACAGUAUCAGCUCGAGCCGAUGUCUACAUUACUCCUGCCAGAGACGUUGUUCAUCAGCGCACUUUCACUGACUGACCGCCACACACUUUCACUGGCACAGAAAACGCGCUCGAAAGAGAAAGUAUUUCCGAAGCCAACAACACAUUCACAUUCACUACUCACUGCUGUAACACAGACUUAUGACACAUCCGCCCAGUGGACGCG
ensembl:lncRNA